UUUAACAAGAAGCUACUCAAUGAUUAGCAAAUCCCUGCGAUAUGGUUAGGGGUAAAGUUUUAAAAAGAGAGAUCAGAAACGGUACAUCUCUUUUUUAUCCCUUCUUUUCUGGUGGGGAGUUGGGUUUAGACCAGCGAACCAUAAACAUAAUCAGGGACAUUUAACAGGUUGAAUUCCCCGCAAUUCAGGGGGAUGGCAUCCAUAUCAACAUCUGUCUGCAUUCUGCAACGCUUAAAUUAUGAUUUUACAACGAACAAGGGAAUGGACAGAUCAAUAAACACACGAAGAAAGGAAAGAUGCAAAGGGAAAUGAAGCUAUUUACACAAAUUUACCAAUAUAACAAUUAUUUGCCAAAGCCCCCACUGAUGAGUAUGCAGGAUUUCUUCUCAUCUUGAUUGAAUUGACCCUCUUACACUGGAGGCUAAUGAAUAUGUAUCAUACAAUUUCAGAAGUCCGAGCCAAACCCAGGUUCCAGCCAAGCAUGAUUGGCUCAAUGGAGUGUCACAUCUGAUGAGUAAAUUGCACUCAGAAAACAGCAUUGGCGAUCAUAGUAAGCCCAUUCCCUUGUGCUGCUCAUCAAGACGACUCCAAACACACCAGUAAAGAAUGUCACUCAUCUUGCUUGAGCAUUGUCAUCAGUAUAUAUGGAAACACAAGCAUCUGCAGCCCCAGCAGCAAGCAGCACUUGGUAUGGAUGGAAGGUGAGACAGCUAACAGGACCAAUCGUCUGGGCCAUAAAAGUUGAGUAAUACCGAAUGGUGCCCAGUACUUCACCCUCCAGGCUGAAUACUUUAAUAAUUUGUUUUGCUGAGCCACUGGCAAUGAU
rnacentral:misc_RNA from 1 species